UGCAUCGAUGAAGAACGCAGCGAAAUGCGAUACGUAAUGUGAAUUGCAGAAUUCAGUGAAUCAUCGAAUCUUUGAACGCAUAUUGCGCUCUUUGGUAUUCCGAAGAGCAUGCUUGUUUGAGUAUCAGUAAACACCUCAAAGUCUUUUUUUUUCUUGAAGAAAAAAGACCUUGGACUUGAGCAAUCCCAACUCUUCCUUUCAGAAGAGGCGGGUUGCUUGAAAUGCAGGUGCAGCUGGACAUUCUCCUGAGCUAAAAGCAUAUUCAUUUAGUCCCGUCAAACGGAUUAUUACUUUUGCUGCAGCUAACAUAAAGGGAGUUUGACCAUUUUGGCUGACUGAUGCAGGAUUUUCACAAGAGUCUUCAAAACGCUCUUGUUAAACUCGAUCUCAAAUCAAGUAAGACUACCCGCUGAACUUAAGCAUAUCAAUAAGCGGAGGAA
rnacentral:rRNA from 1 species